GUACAAAUGAAACACAGUAUCAGAGGAAAAAUAACGACUUGACAUGGUGCAUAAUCUUCUAAGUAAAGGAUAUUGGAAAGUGACAAUAAUACCACUGUAGUGACUGAAAAUUUCGUAAGGUUUUAUCGUAGUCUUCGGUAAAUUUCGAUUUAAGUUUGACAUUAUAAAGUGCAUUAAUAAAUUCGUUUUACGUGCCGAUGAAGAUGAUAGACUAGAAAAAUAUCUAUGAACAUGUUAAUACUACAUAACAUGGUUCGAGUUUACCUGACAUCGUAUAAGUAUAUACUUAUGUUAGGAAAAAGAAAGGGGGAGAUGACUAUUUGGUUGUGAAGUAUAAUGACACUACUGGAGUUUAUUUAUUUAAUUAUUUAUUCUCUCUUUGCACUUAAGGCAUGUAACUGAUGUUGAAAGGGUCUUGAGUGAAGUGGAAGAAGCAACUUUGUUUUGAUAUUCUUUUAUUAGUAUAUAGUCUUGAGAAAUGGACAAAAUAGAUACAAUUUAAUUCUAGGAGCUUACUAACUUAUCACGUGGGGUCACCUUUACCCUUAUACCUAUAUAAAAUUAUUUGGUCUUAUUUGGUCUCAAAACAUUAGGACCUAGUGAUAGUAUCACUGCCAAGGGAAAAAUUGCACCAGAACUGAGCAGUGAAAGGGUCUCUCCGCUGAAGCACUUUGUGAAACAUCCAAGGUUUUAGCAAGCGGUCAGGUGCAGGACGGUCAACGUGCGAGUUAGAGUUCCUGCAGCUUUCUCAUUUUGGUGGGGCCACUUUUGCACUCGUGGAUCACUUUAUUUCAGUUGUAUACUUUUGUAUAGUGCGGGAUUACCACCGUAACUUUAUUAUUUCAUUCGUAGCGUCAUAGAGACUCCAUAGAGAUUUUGUAUCAUUUUGGGCAGUGGGUACUCAUAUGGCAUAGCGAAUGACAUUUCUAAUUAUGUUUACUUUACGUUUUGAUGUACUUUGAUCGUGAAGGGAGUUAUUUUAUUUUGUCUCAUAUUUUUAUUAAGUUAAUUAAUUGAGUUAGUUGAA